GUUGACCUCGGAUCAGGUAGGGAUACCCGCUGAACUUAAGCAUAUCAAUAAGCGGAGGAAAAGAAACCAACAGGGAUUGCUCUAGUAACGGCGAGUGAAGCAGCAAUAGCUCAAAUUUGAAAUCUGGCGUCUUCGACGUCCGAGUUGUAAUUUGUAGAGGAUGCUUCUGAGUAACCACCGACCUAAGUUCCUUGGAACAGGACGUCAUAGAGGGUGAGAAUCCCGUAUGCGGUCGGAAAGGUGCUCUAUACGUAGCUCCUUCGACGAGUCGAGUUGUUUGGGAAUGCAGCUCUAAAUGGGAGGUAAAUUUCUUCUAAAGCUAAAUAUUGGCCAGAGACCGAUAGCGCACAAGUAGAGUGAUCGAAAGAUGAAAAGCACUUUGGAAAGAGAGUUAAAAAGCACGUGAAAUUGUUAAAAGGGAAGGGAUUGCAACCAGACUUGCUCGCGGUGUUCCGCCGGUCUUCUGACCGGUCUACUCGCCGCGUUGCAGGCCAGCAUCGUCUGGUGCCGCUGGAUAAGACUUGAGGAAUGUAGCUCCCUCGGGAGUGUUAUAGCCUCUUGUGAUGCAGCGAGCGCCGGGCGAGGUCCGCGCUUCGGCUAGGAUGCUGGCGUAAUGGUCGUAAUCCGCCCGUCUUGAAACACGGACCAAGGAGUCUAACAUCUAUGCGAGUGUUCGGGUGUCAAACCCCUACGCGUAAUGAAAGUGAACGGAGGUGAGAACCGCAAGGUGCAUCAUCGACCGAUCCUGAUGUCUUCGGAUGGAUUUGAGUAAGAGCAUAGCUGUUGGGACCCGAAAGAUGGUGAACUAUGCCUGAAUAGGGUGAAGCCAGAGGAAACUCUGGUGGAGGCUCGCAGCGGUUCUGACGUGCAAAUCGAUCGUCAAAUUUGGGUAUAGGGGCGAAAGACUAAUCGAACCAUCUAGUAGCUGGUUCCUGCCG
rnacentral:rRNA from 1 species